GUGGGGAAUUUUGGACAAUGGGCGCAAGCCUGAUCCAGCAAUGCCGCGUGCAGGAAGAAGGCCUUCGGGUUGUAAACUGCUUUUGUACGGAACGAAACGGUCCGGGUUAAUACCUGGGGCUAAUGACGGUACCGUAAGAAUAAGCACCGGCUAACUACGUGCCAGCAGCCGCGGUAAUACGUAGGGUGCGAGCGUUAAUCGGAAUUACUGGGCGUAAAGCGUGCGCAGGCGGUGCUGUAAGACAGGCGUGAAAUCCCCGGGCUCAACCUGGGAAUUGCGCUUGUGACUGCAGUGCUGGAGUACGGCAGAGGGGGAUGGAAUUCCGCGUGUAGCAGUGAAAUGCGUAGAUAUGCGGAGGAACACCGAUGGCGAAGGCAGUCCCCUGGGCCUGUACUGACGCUCAUGCACGAAAGCGUGGGGAGCAAACAGGAUUAGAUACCCCUGUAGUCC
rnacentral:rRNA from 1 species